GACGAACGCUGGCGGCGUGCUUAACACAUGCAAGUCGAGCGAUGAAGCUCCUUCGGGAGUGGAUUAGCGGCGGACGGGUGAGUAACACGUGGGCAACCUGCCUUAUAGAGAGGAAUAGCCAUCCGAAAGGAUGAUUAAUACCUCAUAAUAUUGUAGUUUCGCAUGAAGCAACAAUCAAAGGAGCAAUCCACUAUAAGAUGGGCCCGCGGCGCAUUAGCUAGUUGGUGAGGUAACGGCUCACCAAGGCGACGAUGCGUAGCCGACCUGAGAGGGUGAUCGGCCACAUUGGGACUGAGACACGGCCCAGACUCCUACGGGAGGCAGCAGUGGGGAAUAUUGCACAAUGGGGGAAACCCUGAUGCAGCAACGCCGCGUGAGUGAUGACGGCCUCCGGGUUGUAAAGCUCUGUCUUCAGGGACGAUAAUGACGGUACCUGAGGAGGAAGCCACGGCUAACUACGUGCCAGCCGCCGCGGUAAGAC
rnacentral:rRNA from 1 species